AGCCUGAACGCUGGCGGCGUGGCUAAGACAUGCAAGUCGUACGGGUGUAGCAAUACACCAGUGGCGGACGGGUGAGUAAUGUAUCGCUAACGUACCCCGGAUUCUGGGAUAGCUGCCCGAAAGGGCAGGUAAUACCGGAUGAUAUAUCCUUUUCGCAUGAUGAGGAUCUCAAAGGGAAACCGUUCUGGGAGCGGGCGAUAUCGUAUCAGCUAGUUGGUGAGGUAACGGCUCACCAAGGCGACGACGCGUAGCCGGACUGAGAGGUUGGCCGGCCACAUUGGGACUGAGACACUGCCCAGACUCCUACGGGGGGCUGCAGUAACGAAUCUUCCGCAAUGCACGCAAGUGUGACGGAGCGACGCCGCGUGUGGGACGAAGUCCUUCGGGAUGUAAACCACUGUCAGGGGUUAGAAAGUUCUGAUCAACCCCAGAGGAAGGCACGGCUAACUCUGCGCCAGCAGCGCGGUAA
rnacentral:rRNA from 1 species